CGCGUGGGAAUCUGCCCUCAGGAGGGGAGUAACGGACCGGAACGGACCGCUAUACCCACUAUGCCGAAGAGGUGAAAUAGAAUUUCGUCCUCGAGGAUGAGCCCGCGUCUGAUUAGCUAGUUGGUGAGGUAAGAGCUCACCAAGGCAUCGAUCAGUAGCUGGUCUGAGAGGAUGAUCAGCCACACUGGGACUGAGACACGGCCCAGACUCCUACGGGAGGCAGCAGUGGGGAAGUUUUCCGUCAAUGGGCGAAAGCCUGACGGAGCAACGCCGCGUGAGGGAGUGAAGGCCUCUGGGCUG
rnacentral:rRNA from 1 species